rnacentral:lncRNA from 1 species
AUUAGGCUUUUGUUCCAAUCAAGAAAAUUCAAAAACCUUCCACCAGGUCCAACUUCUCUUCCUAUAAUUGGUAACCUUCACCAUCUCAAACGUCCCCUAAACCGUACCUUUAAGGCACUCACUGAAAAGUAUGGUAACGUGAUUUCCCUUUGGUUUGGUUCACGUCUUGUUGUCGUUGUUUCUUCACUUUCCGAAUUUCAAGAAUGUUUUACAAAAAACGACGUUGUCCUAGCAAAUAGACCACGGUUUUUAUCCGGAAAAUAUAUUUUCUACAAUUACACCACUUUAGGAUCUACCUCCUACGGUGAACACUGGCGUAACCUUCGUCGUAUCACUUCCCUUGAUGUUCUUUCAAACCACCGUAUCAACAACUUUGCUCCUAUCCGAAGAGACGAGACUCAGAGGUUGAUCAAGAAGUUGGCUGAAGAUUCAUCCACUAAAUUUGCUGAAGUAGAACUUACUUUCAGGUU